rnacentral:rRNA from 1 species
AGAGCGAACGCUGGCGGCAGGCUUAACACAUGCAAGUCGAGCGGGCGUAGCAAUACGUCAGCGGCAGACGGGUGAGUAACGCGUGGGAACGUACCUUUUGGUUCGGAACAACACAGGGAAACUUGUGCUAAUACCGGAUAAGCCCUUACGGGGAAAGAUUUAUCGCCGAAAGAUCGGCCCGCGUCUGAUUAGCUAGUUGGUGAGGUAAUGGCUCACCAAGGCGACGAUCAGUAGCUGGUCUGAGAGGAUGAUCAGCCACAUUGGGACUGAGACACGGCCCAAACUCCUACGGGAGGCAGCAGUGGGGAAUAUUGGACAAUGGGCGCAAGCCUGAUCCAGCCAUGCCGCGUGAGUGAUGAAGGCCCUAGGGUUGUAAAGCUCUUUUGUGCGGGAAGAUAAUGACGGUACCGCAAGAAUAAGCCCCGGCUAACUUCGUGCCAGCAGCCGC